rnacentral:sRNA from 1 species
GCUGGGCAUGGGGGUGCAUGCCUGUAAUCCCAGCAGCACAGGAGGCUGAGGCAAGAGGAUCAAGAGUUCAAAGUCAGCCUCAG